rnacentral:rRNA from 1 species
AACGAACGCUGGCGGCAGGCCUAACACAUGCAAGUCGAACGCCCUGGCAACGGGGAGUGGCAGACGGGUGAGUAACGCGUGGGAACCUACCUUGUGGUACGGAACAACCAAGGGAAACUUUGGCUAAUACCGUAUGAGCCCGAGAGGGGAAAGAUUGAUCGCCAUGAGAUGGGCCCGCGUAGGAUUAGCUAGUUGGUGGGGUAAUGGCUCACCAAGGCGACGAUCCUUAGCUGGUCUGAGAGGAUGACCAGCCACACUGGGACUGAGACACGGGCCAGACUCCUACGGGAGGCAGCAGUGGGGAAUAUUGGACAAUGGGCGGAAGCCUGCUCCAGCCAUGCCGCGUGUGUGAUGAAGGCCUUAGGGUUGUAAAGCACUUUCGCCGAUGAAGAUAAUGACGGUAGUCGGAGAAGAAGCCCCGGCUAACUUCGUGCCAGCAGCCGCCGUAAGAC